rnacentral:rRNA from 1 species
GACGAACGCUGGCGGCGUGCUUAACACAUGCAAGUCGAACGGAAAGGCCCUGCUUGCAGGGUACUCGAGUGGCGAACGGGUGAGUAACACGUGGGUGAUCUGCCCUUCACUUCGGGAUAAGCCUGGGAAACUGGGUCUAAUACCGGAUAGGUGCCAUUUUUAGUGUGAUGGUUGGAAAGUUUUUUCGGUGUUGGAUGAGCUCGCGGCCUAUCAGCUUGUUGGUGGGGUAAUGGCCUACCAAGGCGGCGACGGGUAGCCGGCCUGAGAGGGUGGACGGCCACAUUGGGACUGAGAGACGGCCCAGACUCCUACGGGAGGAAGAAGGGGGGAAGAGUGAACAAGGGGCGCAAGCCGGAUGCAGAGACGCCGCGGGGGGGAGGACGGCCUUAGGGUUGUAAACUCCUUUCGCUAGGGACGAAGCUUUUUGUGACGGUACCUAGAUAAGAAGCACCGGCUAACUACGUG